ACGAACGCUGGCGGCGUGCUUAACACAUGCAAGUCGAACGAUGAAGCCCUUCGGGGUGGAUUAGUGGCGAACGGGUGAGUAACACGUGGGCAAUCUGCCCUGCACUCUGGGACAAGCCCUGGAAACGGGGUCUAAUACCGGAUNACACCCCCUCUCGCAUGGGAGGGGGUUGAAAGCUCCGGCGGUGCAGGAUGAGCCCGCGGCCUAUCAGCUUGUUGGUGAGGUAGAAGCUCACCAAGGCGACGACGGGUAGCCG
rnacentral:rRNA from 1 species